rnacentral:rRNA from 1 species
CCGCUUCGGGAUGGCCCUGCGGCCCAUCAGCUAGUUGGUGGGGUAACGGCCUACCAAGGCAAAGACGGGUAGCUGGUCUGAGAGGACGAUCAGCCACACUGGCACUGAAACACGGGCCAGACUCCUACGGGAGGCAGCAGUGGGGAAUUUUCCGCAAUGGGCGAAAGCCUGACGGAGCAAUACCGCGUGAGGGAGGAAGGCCUUCGGGUUGUAAACCUCUUUUCUGGGGGACGAAGGGGUGACGGUACCCCAGGAAUAAGCCUCGGCUAACUCUGUGCCAGCAGCCGCGGUAAGACAGAGGAGGCGAGCGUUAUCCGGAGUUAUUGGGCGUAAAGGGUACGUAGGCGGCUGGUCAAGUCUGGGGUUAAAGACCACAGCUUAACUGUGGGGGGGCCUUGGAAACUGACCGGCUGGAGUGGGGCAGGGUUGCGGGAAUUCCCGGUGUAGCGGUGAAAUGCGUAGAUAUCGGGAAGAACACUUGAAGCGAAAGCNCGCAACUGGGCCCUAACUGACGCUG